rnacentral:ncRNA from 1 species
UCAGUUCUUAGAUCAAGGACAAAAUAAUCAAGCGAAAUAGUAAACAAGAGAGUAAUCAAACAAAGAAGUAAGCAAAAGGAUCACAUGAGGCAAUAAUUAAGUAAAGUAGUAAACAAAAAGAUAACAGAGGGUAGUAAUUAAGCAAAGUAGUGAACAGAGCCCCAUGGUCACUGCUUCUAAUAUUCUUAUCUGAGCCUACUUCCUUGUCUGAGGCCAGUAACACAUGCCAAAUUCCUUGAAGUUCUCAACAGCCUUCCAUGCUGACUAUGGGUGGGAAUCAGGGUUCAAUUCUAGAGAGGGAGCCUGAGAAAUGGCUACACAGCCACACAAAUUACCCACUCCCAAACUGGGGAGGUAGUGAUGAAAAAACACACUAUACAGGACUCUUUGGAGGCCCUGUAAUUGUAUUAAGUCCACUUUACAUCCUUUAACGAGGAUCCAUUGGAGGGAAACUCUGGCCUUAACAGCUUUAGUA